rnacentral:rRNA from 1 species
CAGCAGCCGCGGUAAUACAGAGGAUGCAAGCGUUAUCCGGAAUGAUUGGGCGUAAAGCGUCUGUAGGUGGCUUUUCAAGUCCGCCGUCAAAUCCCAGGGCUCAACCCUGGACAGGCGGUGGAAACUACCAAGCUGGAGUACGGUAGGGGUAGAGGGAAUUUCCGGUGGAGCGGUGAAAUGUGUUGAGAUCGGAAAGAACACCAACGGCGAAAGCACUCUGCUGGGCCGACACUGACACUGAGAGACGAAAGCUAGGGGAGCAAAUGGGAUUAGAUACCCCAGUAGUCCCUGUCUCUUAUAA